rnacentral:lncRNA from 1 species
UCUGGGCAGCCACCUGGGACCAAGUGGAUAUCUUAGAACUGUGCAGAACUGGCCUCGUCCCUCACUGGCUAUGGCCUUCUGGAGAGCUGGCCCCAUCUCUCACCCAGAGCAACACUCCGGAGAGCAGACCCUGAGUUUCAGGGGAGUCUCACGGAGCACAGUGGGGCUGGUUCUGGAGACAAGGGUGAGGGCAGAGAGCAGGAGAACGAACCCUGCCUCUUGCCAAUGCUAGUACUGGGUGGCCUAACUGGAUCAGUGAGGGAGAGCUGGCCAUGGUCACAUAAGGGAGAAACCGCAGGAUGACCAGCUUAGCUAACACCCAGGUCCAGAUCCAGGGCUUUGAGUUGGCCCAUCCCAAAAUCUACAUCAUCUGUGAACCAGUGGGGUGUGUGAAAAGGCCAGUCCUACUGAUCCAACGCUGCAGGAUCUCCAUGACACAGGGCAACAACAAGAUAACUGGGAGGAUCCAGUAUUGAUGGUGUCCUAGAAGCCAGAGACCAUGAACCAGACCAAUGACUCAUUGCAAUGAACAGUCACAAGUGAAGAUGUGUGGACAGAGGGAUGUAUUGUGGGACACACUGUGACAUACUACAGCUUCCACCAUGAGAUGUUUUCUAUGCUUUGUUUUGUUUAUUUUUAAUUUGUCUCUGUGUUUUUUAUUUGGAAGGAGGUUGCAAGGGUGGAGGGCAGAAAUGAGGAGAUGGGGAGAUGAGUGCAUGAUGGGAAACUCCCAAGGAAUCAAUCAAAAGUUUAAAAAGUAGAAUAGACACAGGGUUUGCACUCACCAGCCCGUAUUUUCGUCUUGUAGCCACUUAGCUGCUUAUCUUGCUCUUUCUGUAGAAGCAACCCAGAUUUUAAAUUCUUCUAGAGACUGCAUAGCCUGCGACACCCUCAUUUUCAGCAUCUAGUUGCUCUCGAACUUUAGUUUCUUGAACAGAAAUGAACUUACGUACCAUGUAAGUGAGCUGCCCACUCUCCUUCAUGUCCAGUGGCACCCGAUCUAAAAAAAGGGGACGGCAGCUGCUCUGAUUAAGAACCUGCUCCGAGAAGGAAUGGAGAACUCCUGUACUCACCAGCAUGUGUUUUGGACACCAUCAGACCAUUUAUGAGUCCCGAAACUUCUAAGAUGCCA